rnacentral:rRNA from 1 species
AGAGUUUGAUCCUGGCUCAGGAUGAACGCUGGCGGCGUGCCUAAUACAUGCAAGUCGAGCGAACAGACGAGGAGCUUGCUCCUCUGACGUUAGCGGCGGACGGGUGAGUAACACGUGGAUAACCUACCUAUAAGACUGGGAUAACUUCGGGAAACCGGAGCUAAUACCGGAUAAUAUAUUGAACCGCAUGGUUCAAUAGUGAAAGACGGUUUUGCUGUCACUUAUAGAUGGAUCCGCGCCGCAUUAGCUAGUUGGUAAGGUAACGGCUUACCAAGGCGACGAUGCGUAGCCGACCUGAGAGGGUGAUCGGCCACACUGGAACUGAGACACGGUCCAGACUCCUACGGGAGGCAGCAGUAGGGAAUCUUCCGCAAUGGGCGAAAGCCUGACGGAGCAACGCCGCGUGAGUGAUGAAGGUCUUCGGAUCGUAAAACUCUGUUAUUAGGGAAGAACAAAUGUGUAAGUAACUAUGCACGUCUUGACGGUACCUAAUCAGAAAGCCACGGCUAACUACGUGCCAGCAGCCGCGGUAAUACGUAGGUGGCAAGCGUUAUCCGGAAUUAUUGGGCGUAAAGCGCGCGUAGGCGGUUUUUUAAGUCUGAUGUGAAAGCCCACGGCACGACCGUGGAGGGUCAUUGGAAACUGGAAAACUUGAGUGCAGAAGAGGAAAGUGGAAUUCCAUGUGUAGCGGUGAAAUGCGCAGAGAUAUGGAGGAACACCAGUGGCGAAGGCGAUUUUCUGGUCUGUAACUGACGCUGAUGUGCGAAGCGUGGGGAUCAACAGGAUUAGAUACCCUGGUAGUCCACGCCGUAAACGAUGGGGUGCUAAGUUUUAGGGGGUUUCCGCCCCUUUAGUGCUGCAGCUAACGCAUUAAGCACUCCGCCUGGGGAGUACGACCGCAAGGUUGAACUCAAAGGAAUUGACGG